rnacentral:rRNA from 1 species
AUGAACGCUGGCGGCGCGCCUAACACAUGCAAGUCGAACGGUUAAGACGCCUUCGGGCGUGAAUAAAGUGGCGAACGGCUGAGUAACACGUGGGCAACCUGCCCCUCGCUCCGGGACAGCCUCGGGAAACCGUGGGUAAUACCGGAUACUCCCCAGGCGGCACAUGCCGCCCGGGGGAAAGCCCAGACGGCGAGGGAUGGGCCCGCGGCCUGUUAGCUAGUUGGCGGGGCAACGGCCCACCAAGGCGAUUAUGGGUAGCCGGGUUGAGAGACCGACCGGCCAGAUUGGGACUGAGACACGGCCCAGACUCCUACGGGAGGCAGCAGUGGGGAAUCUUGCGCAAUGGGCGGAAGCCUGACGCAGCGACGCCGCGUGCGGGAGGAAGGCCCUCGGGUCGUAAACCGCUUUCAGCAGGGACGAGGCCGAGAGGUGACGGUACCUGCAGAAGAAGCCCCGGCUAACUACGUGCCAGCAGCCGCGGUAAUACGUAGGGGGCGAGCGUUAUCCGGAUUCAUUGGGCGUAAAGCGCUCGUAGGCGGCCCGUCUGGUCGGGAGUCAAAGCCCGGGGCUCAACCCCGGCCCGCUCCCGAUACCGGCGGGCUUGAGUCGCGCAGGGGAGGCCGGAAUUCCGAGUGUAGCGGUGGAAUGCGCAGAUAUUCGGAAGAACACCGGUGGCGAAGGCGGACCUCUGGGCGCGCACUGACGCUGAGGAGCGAAAGCUGGGGGAGCGAACAGGAUUAGAUACCCUGGUAGUCCCAGCCGUAAACGAUGGGCACUAGGUGUGGGGGGAGAUGCCCCCCGUGCCGAAGCUAACGCAUUAAGUGCCCCGCCUGGGGAGUACGGCCGCAAGGCUAAAACUCAAAGGAAUUGACGGGGGCCCGCACAAGCAGCGGAGCAUGUGGCUUAAUUCGAAGCAACGCGAAGAACCUUACCAGCGCUUGACAUCACCGUGAAGCGGCGGAGACGCCGUGGCCGAGAGGAGCGGUGACAGGUGGUGCAUGGCUGUCGUCAGCUCGUGUCGUGAGAUG